rnacentral:rRNA from 1 species
CAAAUCUCCAAAAGCCGUCCCAGUUCGGAUUGCAGGCUGCAACCCGCCUGCAUGAAGUUGGAAUCGCUAGUAAUCGCGGAUCAGCAUGCCGCGGUGAAUACGUUCCCGGGCCUUGUACACACCGCCCGUCACACCAUGAGAGUCGGGAACACCCGAAGUCCGUAGCCUAACCGCAAGGGGGGCGCGGCCGAAGGUGGGUUCGAUAAUUGGGGUGAAGUCGUAACAAGGUAAC